AUCGUCGCCUCUAUCAUCCGUCACACAUGAUUGAGUGAGGAAAUGGUGGCUUUUUUCCCUUUUGUUUCUUGUGCAUCACAACUUCUAACGCUAUUUGGGAUUUGCGUAUUCCCUCUUCAAUUGAAGCUUCAAACAGGUCUGGGGUUUUUGUAGGCAACGUAGCAACACCCUGAUGAGCCCUAACUUCUUUUUUGGUUUCGAUUUUGGAAUCAAAUAUCGAUUAUCGACAAAAACAAUAUCAUUCAGGUAAUAAAGAACGACCAGCUUCUUCUCCUUUCUCCUCUCUAUUUCAUCGCUUUUCUCUAUCUGCAAAGGCUUCAAUGCCAUCAUCGAGCAACACAUAAAAUGAUGGACGCUCAGCUACGUUGUCAGAUUGCUUUCCGGAAUGUCCGGCAUCUCCAGGCAUUUAUCCAUCUUCUGAUCCCUCCAUGUCCUGUUUCGCUUUUGGUGGCUCGCUUCGGGUGGUCGGUGGCAGAUUUCUAUCUGAUCAACAUUCAUUUGAUUCUUGAUUGCAGCCAAAAUAUGUGUUUCAAUUUACAGGAAAGGAAUUGUAUCUGGAGAUGUGAUAGAGAAGACUGGAAACAAGGCAAAAAAGAAUGCAAGACAUGGGUUUCAAUUUACAGAAAGGAAUUCUAUCUGGAGAUGUGAUGGAGAAGACUGGAAAGGAGGCAAAAAAGAAUAAUCAUUAAGAACAUGGAAUAUGUUGCACGCUCCCUAAGAAUUAGCCAUUUUUUCCUUUUUUUGUGUCUUCUGCUGGUGUGGAACACCAUUUGAAACAGACAAUAAACAAGAUUGUUAUUUUGACAUCAAUGUGUCAUAAUUUCGCAUCCCUGAAAUAAAUGGUAAAGAUGCCUUCAUGGAAUUAGAUAAAUAAGUGUUUCAUUUGAAAUGGAUAUGCAUUAGGUAUCAAGUGUUUGACAAGGUUGGUAAUUGGUGUUUGCAAGUCUGUUGAUAAAAAUGUUGAGAAGCUAAUGGUAAAGAGAGAUGGAGGAUCUUUCUUGCGAUGUGCUCAAACGGUAGUGCAGAACAUGACAGCAGCCAUGGACAUAUGCAAGAAAAUCGUUAAAGACCACCCAACAACUUGACCAGCCCAUAUCAUAUGCUUUUGCCACGAUCUAAUAUCCUUCCUACUGUAUCCAAAAUGUAUGUAAUCCAAUAUCAUGUAGUCAUUUGCUAAUGAAUGAAUAUCUUUUGAUCCAUAUUAUGUUGCAAAUUACAUAAAUUCAUCCGGUUAAAAAACGAAAUCAGAUAAAGUUGUUUGUAUAUUUUGAAAAGAUGUUGAAUACUUUGAAUUGCAGUCAAAUAUUGCUAUCAUUUAUUUUAGAGAAGA